rnacentral:rRNA from 1 species
UGGGGAAUUUUCCGCAAUGGGCGAAAGCCUGACGGAGCAAGACCGCGUGAGGGAUGAAGGCUCUUGGGUUGUAAACCUCUUUUAUCAGGGAAGAAGAACUGACGGUACCUGGUGAAUCAGCAUCGGCUAACUCCGUGCCAGCAGCCGCGGUAAGACGGAGGAUGCAAGCGUUAUCCGGAAUUAUUGGGCGUAAAGCGUCCGCAGGUGGUUAGUCAAGUCUGCUGUUAAAGAUCGGGGCUUAACUCCGAAAAGGCGGUGGAAACUGGCUGACUAGAGUACGGUAGGGGUAGAGGGAAUUCCCAGUGUAGCGGUGAAAUGCGUAGAGAUUGGGAAGAACACCAGUGGCGAAAGCGCUCUACUAGGCCUGUACUGACACUCAGGGACGAAAGCUAGGGGAGCA